rnacentral:rRNA from 1 species
UACCAGCACCCCGAGUGGUCGGGACGUUUUAUUGGGCCUAAAGCAUCCGUAGCCGGUUCUACAAGUCUUCCGUUAAAUCCAACUGCUUAACAGGUGGGCUGCGGAAGAUACUAUAGAGCUAAGAGGCGGGAGAGGCAAGCGGUACUCGAUGGGUAGGGGUAAAAUCCGUUGAUCCAUUGAAGACCACCAGUGGCGAAGGCGGCUUGCCAGAACGCGCUCGACGGUGAGGGAUGAAAGCUGGGGGGAGCAAACCGG